UACGUAGGCAGCAAGCGUUGUUCGGAGUUACUGGGCGUAAAGGGUGCGUAGGUGGCUCUAUAAGUAUGGUGUGAAAUCUCCCGGCUUAACUGGGAGGGUGCGCCGUAGACUGUGGGGCUAGAGUGUGGGAGAGGAAAGUGGAAUUCCUGGUGUAGCGGUGAAAUGCGUAGAUAUCAGGAGGAACACCGGUGGUGUAAACGGCUUUCUGGACCAUAACUGACACUGAAGCACGAAAGCGUGGGUAGCAAACAGG
rnacentral:rRNA from 1 species